CAUUAAUCAUCCAACUGUAGAAAACAAUGUACAAGUUUACAGAUUUUGCAGAGUGCCAUUUGGAGUUAUAUCAAGUCCUUUCCUACUUGCAGCAACUUUGGACUAUCACCUUGACACAUAAAAAAAUGCAACAGCAGCAAAUAUUAGAGAAAACAUUUAUGUGGAUAAUGUAAUUACUGGAGUAGAUUCGACAGAGAAUGCAGUUACAUUAUAUAAAGAGGCAAAACAAAUAUUCAGUGAUGCAUCAAUGAACUUAAGAGAAUGGGCAUCAAAUUCACAGCAAUUUUUAAAAUGCAUUCCCAAGGAAGACCAGGCGAAUAGAGAAAAAUUAAAGGUUCUUGGAUUAACUUGGACAAUAAAAGAUGAUACAUUAACGGUGAACAGUGCAAGAAAUGAUAACAUGUUUCCAAUCACCAAAAGAGAAGUAUUACAGAGAGUGGCUUCUGUGUUUGAUCCACUUGGAUUUUUUACACCUGUGACUUUAAGAACCAAGCUUUUCCUCCAAAUGUUGUGGAACAAGAAAAUGGAAUGGGAUGAACAACUGACAGAGGAAGAUAUUCAGCAAUGGAAAGAAAUCUCUUUUGAUUUAGAUGAAAUUCAGGAAUAUCAUAUUCCUAGUGCUAUUGGGCUACCAGGUACAGUUACGUUCAGAUUACUAUGCUUUUGCGGCGAUGCUUCAACCAAAGCCUAUGCUUCUGCUGUUUAUCUACAUCAACUCAGGGAAAACAACUUAUGUAAAAUUGAUUUACUGUUUUCCAAGACACGCUUGGUACCAAAUAAGAAAAUAACUUUACCACGACUUGAGUUAUUAGCAGUUGUCAUUGGUGUCCGUUGCAUUGACUUUGUUAAGAAGCAAUUAAAACUUCCUAUCUGUGAGACGAUUUUGUGGACAGAUUCUCAAUGUGUUUUACACUGGAUAGGAUCGAAAAAACCUCUAGCAACAUUUGUUGAUAAUAGAAUAAAGGAGAUUAGGCAGCAACAAGACAUUCAAUUUCAGUACGUCUAUACGAAGGAAAAUCCAGCUGAUAUUGCAAGCAGAGGCACAACAGUAUCACUGUUAAAAGAAAACAGCCAAUGGUGGCAUGGUCCCUCUUGGUUAACAAAACACAGAACUGAGUGGCCUAGAUGGGAUCCUCACAAUAUAAGUGUUGACAAUCAAAAUUCGAUUGAAUCAGAAUACAAGGUAUCUAAAGUAUUACAUGAAGCAAAAUUGCUUGCUGGAGAGGGUCCUGACGGAGAAACAAACAGUGUUGGAAAUUCGAAAUCUAGUGUUGGGUAUCUGUUAGACAUUGAUUGUAGCAGAUUUUCCUCAUUUAUCCAGAGAUUAUCAGCUUGGGUAUUGAGAUUUGUUAAACGGUUAAAUAAAGAGACGAUAUCUGGUCCUCUAACAGCUGCAGAGCUAGAACACGCAAAGUUAUUGUGGAUAAAAUCUGUUCAAAAACAAUGUUUUGGUGAAGUGAUGAUAGCAAUUAAAGAAAAUAAAAGACACAACUUAGUAAGUCAGUUAGGGCUCAUUUUAGACCAGGAAAAUGUGAUCAGGUGUGUUGGUAGAUUAGGAGCUGCUCAACUGUCAGAAGGGGCAAAAACACCAAUAUUACUUCCAAAGAAAAACAAAGUUACUGAACUGUUAAUUGAAAGCAUGCACAGAAAAAACUUUCAUGUUGGUGUCUCACAAACUUUAUCAGCGAUGCGUCAAACGUACUGGAUUCCACAAGGACGUUCAGAAGUAAAAAGAGUUUUGAAAAAAUGUACAAUCUGCAAACGGUGUGAAGGCGGACCAUAUAAAAUGCCAUUAAUGCCUCCACUACCAAAGAAACGAGUAAACGAGUCAGCCCCAUUUACAUAUACAGGAGUAGACUAUUUUGGACCAAUUUUUGUGAAAUCAGACACUGGAAGCAAAAAAGUAUGGGUUUGCUUAUAUACAUGUCUAGUGGUUCGAGCCAUACAUAUGGAAUUAAUGCAAGACAUGUCAGCAGAGGAAUUCUUACUAGGCUUUCGAAGGUUCAUUGCUCGCUGGGGUAACCCAAAACAAAUAAUUUCAGAUAACGGAUCCCAGUUCAAGUUAGCUAGCAAUACCUUAGAAGAAGCAUGGAAUGGUGUAACAGUGAAUUCAGAUGUGCAAACAUACAUGGCAAAUGAAGGAAUUCAGUGGCAAUUCAUUGUUGAGUUAGCACCUUGGAUGGGUGGAUUUUAUGAAAGAUUAAUUGGUAUUGUAAAACGAUGUUUACGGAAAAACAAUUGGAAAGUUAUGUCUAACAAAUGA
rnacentral:sRNA from 1 species